GCAUAUCAAUAAGCGGAGGAAAAGAAACUAACCAGGAUUGCCUCAGUAAGGGCGACUGAAGUGGCAAUAGCUCACCAUGUGAAUCUGCGUAAGCCGAAUUGUGGUUUCGCUUGUGUUAGGGGCUGGGCCAAGUCCGUUGGAACACGGCAGCUGAGAGGGUGAGACUCCCGUUUGCUGGCCCUUGGAACAAGUGUGUUCGAGUCGAGUUGUUUGGGAAU
rnacentral:rRNA from 1 species